AUUGAACGCUGGCGGCAGGCCUAACACAUGCAAGUCGAACGGUAACAGGAAGAAGCUUGCUUCUUUGCUGACGAGUGGCGGACGGGUGAGUAAUGUCUGGGAAACUGCCUGAUGGAGGGGGAUAACUACUGGAAACGGUAGCUAAUACCGCAUAACGUCGCAAGACCAAAGAGGGGGACCUUCGGGCCUCUUGCCAUCGGAUGUGCCCAGAUGGGAUUAGCUAGUAGGUGGGGUAACGGCUCACCUAGGCGACGAUCCCUAGCUGGUCUGAGAGGAUGACCAGCCACACUGGAACUGAGACACGGGCCAGACUCCUAAGGGAGGCAGCAGUGGGGAAUAUUGCACAAUGGGCGCAAGCCUGAUGCAGCCAUGCCGCGUGUAUGAAGAAGGCCUUCGGGUUGUAAAGUACUUUCAGCGGGGAGGAAGGGAGUAAAGUUAAUACCUUUGCUCAUUGACGUUACCCGCAGAAGAAGCACCGGCUAACUCCGUG
rnacentral:rRNA from 1 species